CCUGCCCGGCUCUCUGAGCACUUCCCUGGAGUCUGUGCAAACAUGAGAACAGGAACGAAAGCAGUCUCGUUCCCGUGUUUGUGGGAUGAAGGCAGGAGCCCAGAGGCGAGAAGAGGCUGGGGCAGCAAAAGCCCC
ensembl:miRNA eca-mir-9005 eca-mir-9005